AUGGACACUAAGAAGUAUCUUGCUUUUCCUUUGGUGUAUCAACUUCUAAAGCUGGUGCUAAUUUUGUUGGUUGCCACGGCGUCAGUGGAGAGAUGCUUUUCAGUAAUGAAUAUUGUGAAGAGUGUUUUCUGCAACAAAAUGGGUGACCAGUUCAUGAGUGAUUGCUUGAUUUGCUAUGUGGAGAAAGAUAUAUUUACUACCAUUACAAAUGACACCGUAAUUAAUCUAUUUAAGAAGAUGGGAGAUCGAGAAGGCAAGUUAUAA
rnacentral:rRNA from 1 species